CACAGACAGAAGACACAGAGGAGCAGGAAGACCUGGUGUGAAGCAUCAGGUGCACUGUGAUUGGUUGAAAGUAUUUAGGAGGGAACAGGAAGUAUCUAUCUCUUUCCAUCCCCGGUGGCAGCAGCAGCAGUUUGUACAGCAUGACCUUUAGAGCAAGAGUAUUAUUGUGUUGUUUCUUUUCUUUUUCUUUUCCGAUGGGUCCAGUCGUCCAGUUUUCGCAGCUUUAUUUCUGUGAGCUUUAGUUCUGAUGUUGGUUUAGGUUGAAGGAAGAUUCUCAGAUCGUACAACCCUUUGUGAGUUGGUGUGUUAGGUUUUCCUUCUUUGUCCAUUUUGCCGGCCUGUUGUUGAAGUUGUUGUCUUUUCUACAAUAAUAAAAAAAAAAUUGCUGUUACCCUUUGAACUAUGUUGGACGUCUUGGUGAUGAGCCUUUGAGGCUGUGGUAACACCACGUGACUCAUCUGGUGUCUUAUACAUGAUAUUAAUGUGGUUAUUACAUGGAUAAUGAAUUAUUAUGUAUCGUGAUUUUAUGAUUCUUUUUUAAAUAAAGUUUUUGGUCUUUUGUUUUCA